UCUAGAACUCGAGAUAUGGGCUGAACACUGAACAUUGUCUAGGGGACUUCUCCGUUGUUGCUACAAUUUAGACUUGAAAACGGCCUUUUUAAAUCUUGGACUCCUCAUGAAAGUUUUAGGCCUAUGUCUUAGCUUUCCAUC
rfam:Populus trichocarpa scaffold_12_contig_112, whole genome shotgun sequence.